UCAGAUUAUGCGUACAAAGCACUUGACUUCUCGUGCGCUCCCAGAGAGAGAUCCCGGUCUGACUCUGUAAUCAGCCUUCAGGAGGCACUGAUGCAGUUGCCCAUUCAAGACUCAUCCUCUAUAUCAUCCAGCCGAAUGGAAUCUCCAGUGUCCUCCACAGCCAGCACACCCUCAUCGGACAGCACAGAGAGAGAGAGGACCGAGGCUCAACGGGGAGAAAAUCC